ACUUACAAGCUGUGGAAGCACAUUUCUUGUGUGACCGCGUACUUUUUGUAGAACGGGCCAACGAGUUACGUUAAGUAGCAAGGUUAAGCACUUAAGGUGCGGAGCCGUAGCGAAAGCGAGUUUUAACUGAGCGUUCAGUUACUUGACGUAGACCCGAAACCGGGCGACCUACCCAUGAGCAGGAUGAAGCGAAAGUAAAAUUUCGUGGAGGUCCGAACCCACGAGCG
rnacentral:rRNA from 1 species